GAACACAGGGAUACAUAUGUAUGUACAUACUGAUGAAGUGGACGAGGAGGGGAAGGGGACUGGCCUCUUGGAAUUUAUCGCACGUUAUGCCUGAUGCUGAGAGUUGUAAUUUUUCAUGAAGAACCCCGGGACCAGGAGCCGUACGACACGCAGCCGGGGCGGGGGGCGAGCAUCUACAUACCUGGAAGAUGGAGAUGAAGCGACAAUGCCCGACAGCAUGUCUGACAAACGGUACACUGGGUAGCAGGCAGGCAGCAAGCAAGCGCACACACCCGACAAAAGUUUCAAAAGAGAUUUGCGGAACAAGCAAAUGUCUCGAACAUCGACAGCAAUUUUCCAUUUCACAAAGGACACUUUGGUCGCCUGUGCGCAUAUGGAAGAUGAAACGGUGAAUAAAUACGAGUAUGUGUUAGCGCCUGUACGACAAACUUCAUGAAAAGGAUAAGCCGGGGGCGUUGCGGAGCGAAGAACCAGCGCACAACUCCACCCGCGCACACAUAAUGCAAGAUUAAUUUCUAAUGUCGUUAUAAAUAAAAGCUCGCGUAUUUUAUAGCCUCACCCACUCCAGCAGCAGGCCCACUGAGCUCCCCAACCUUAUUCGACAAAUGGCAGCGGGUUUUUUCUGCUGGACAUCCAUGUGAAGGGUUGUCGCUGGACUGGUCUGUUCUGUGACUUAUAAACGGCCAACAGCAGCGCUCUCUCUCUCUCUCUCUCUCUCUGCCAGGAAGAAUAAUGUUUCAUUUUAUGUCCCUCGAAUGUAAUUCGCGGAUGGCAUGCGGUUUGUUCGCAUAAUCUGAUUUGGAGAAACACAAAGCGAGAGAGAUGCGCGAAAGAUUGAAAACCCCAUUCAAAUAUGACUAUUACAUUUAAUGGCACAGCAGACAUUCUUUCUUCUCUUCACUUUGGUGUGAGACGGCACCCAAAUUGGAAUACCAAAUGGGACGCAAUCAUUUGCUGAUUAAAGCGCAGAUGGAAGAUUUGAAAUAAAACCAACCCAACCCAACCCAACCACUAGGUGAACAUAAUUGCCAAUAUUAACGAUUUAUUUACUCCUUUUUCUCGCAGAAGGAUCACACAAUGGAGAGCGUUUGUUCUGGUUUUUCUGUUUCAUUGAACACCUCGGAGCUGACAAGUGUCCGCGGCACACGCUGGAAUAAUCACCAUUUACGAACCCGAGUCACAAGCUAGAUGAUUAACUAAACCACAAAACAAAUGAGGCACAGCCCACAAAUGACUCGCGCUGCGGUCGGUUGCUUGCACUGAUCGAUGGUGUGCGGAUGCAGAGCAGGUAGCGCAGACCACCCCGGCACCCAGGUGGGUGCCUCUCCUUUCUGCUUGCCAAUGUUCAGUGUUGACAACUGUGUUGGAAGGUGUGACACAAACAAAGGUGUGAACACAGUGUUAUUGCACUUGGAAAUGACACGACCUUAAUUUAUAAUUAAUGUUAAGAUUAGUCUUAGGCUAAAGAUGGUUUUAGGUCCAAAAGGGAUCAGGCAUUGGUCCAACCUCACAACCCACAAACACACACAUUUUGGUUGUCCGAAAACAAU